CUACGGGUCGCAGCAGUGAGGAAUAUUGCACAAUGGGGGGAACCCUGAUGCAGCAACGCCGCGUGGAGGAUGACGCAUUUCGGUGUGUAAACUCCUUUUAUAUGUCAAGAAAAUGACGGUAGCAUAUGAAUAAGCGCCGGCUAACUCCGUGCCAGCAGCCGCGGUAAUACGGAGGGCGCAAGCGUUACUCGGAAUCACUGGGCGUAAAGGACGCGUAGGCGGGUUGAAAAGUCAGGUGUGAAAGCCUACAGCUUAACUGUAGAACUGCACUUGAAACUCUCAAUCUAGAGUAUGGGAGGGGCAGAUGGAAUUAGUGGUGUAGGGGUAAAAUCCGUAGAUACCACUAGGAAUACCUAAAGCGAAGGCGAUCUGCUGGAACAUUACUGACGCUAAGGCGUGAAAGCGUGGGGAGCAAACAGGAUUAGAUACCCGUGUAGUC
rnacentral:rRNA from 1 species